GCAAAGCACUCCUACGGGAGGCAGCAGUGGGGAAUAUUGCACAAUGGGCGCAAGCCUGAUGCAGCCAUGCCGCGUGUAUGAAGAAGGCCUUCGGGUUGUAAAGUACUUUCAGCAGUGAGGAAGGUGGAUAUGUUAAUAGCAUAUUCAUUUGACGUUAGCUGCAGAAGAAGCACCGGCUAACUCCGUGCCAGCAGCCGCGGUAAUACGGAGGGUGCGAGCGUUAAUCGGAAUUACUGGGCGUAAAGCGCAUGCAGGUGGUUUGUUAAGUCAGAUGUGAAAGCCCGGGGCUCAACCUCGGAAUUGCAUUUGAAACUGGCAAACUAGAGUACUGUAGAGGGGGUAGAAUUUCAGGUGUAGCGGUGAAAUGCGUAGAGAUCUGAAGGAAUACCGGUGGCGAAGGCGGCCCCCUGGACAGAUACUGACACUCAGAUGCAAAAGCGUGGGGAGCAAACAGGAUUAGAUACCCUGGUAG
rnacentral:rRNA from 1 species